GGCAUCAGGUUCUCCACGUGGUCUCUGCUGAGCGGGAAAAGGUGGGGGAUGGGAGAUGGGAACUGGAGCCUUCUAAGAGCCGAAGUCUAGGCUCCUGUUCCGCCAUUGCUGGCUUGGGUAAGGGCUCCCAGGGUGAUUUGAGAGUUGCCAGGAGAGGAAGGCCAUUUGGCAAGAAUCCUGACAGACAAAAGCUGGAGGAGGGUAGAGCAAGAUGGCAGAAUAGAAAGCGCCACCGAUCAUACUCCGCCCCCACAAGGACACCAAGUUAACUACCUACACAGAAGAAAUACCUUCAUAAGAAUCAAAAAUCAGGUUCUACCUCCCAGAUGACAUUUCUAGACACACCCUGGGCCAGAAGAGAACCCACUUCCUUGAAGGAAAGGAUCCAGUCCUGGCAGCAUUCAUCGCCUGCUAACUGAAGAUCCCUUGGGCCUUGAAUACCAACAGCAAUACCCAGGACUUGAUUCUUGGAUGGUAUUUCUGGACCUGCCCUGGGCCAGAGGGAAGCCCACUGGCCUGAAGGGUGAAUCCCAGGCCAGGCAGCAUGCAUGACAAGCUGACUUAAGAGACGUUGGGCUUUAAGGUAACAUCUGCCAUAAUCUGGCAGUACUCCUUGUGGCCUGGGGUGGCAAUGGCUAUGGGGUGAACCUCCUCUCCCUUUGGAAAGGGUAGAGAAGAGUGGGAAGGACUGAAUGGUGUGGUUUGAGUGCUGGCUCAGCUACAAUACAAUAGAACACCAGGUAAACAUCUAAGGUUUUUGACUCUAGUCCCUGACUCCCAGAUGGAACUUCUGGACCCACCUGGGGCUUUGGGGACCUCACUGCCCUGAAGGGAAGGACACAGGCUUGGCUGGCUUUGCCACCUGCUGAUUGUGGAGCCCCAGGACCUUGAGCGAACAUAGGCAGUAGCCAGGGACAGGUUACAAUAGGACUUGGGUGAGACCCAGCGCUGUGCUAGCUUCAGGUCUGACCCAGUGCAGUCAUAGUGGUGGUGGCCACAGGGGUGCUUGUGUCACCCCACCCCAAAUUUAGGUGGCUCAGAACAGAGAGACUAUGUUUGGGAGAAAGUAAGCGAAGGGAACAAGAUUCUCUGCCUGGUAAUGCAGAGAAUUCUCCCAGAUCUUGUCCAAGACCAUCGAGGCAGUACCCCUAUGAGUCUGCAAGAACCACAAAG
rnacentral:lncRNA from 1 species